rnacentral:RNase_P_RNA from 1 species
AAGGUGCCAGACGAGGAAAGUCCGGGCUUCACAGGGCAGGAUGCCGGAUAACGUCCGGUGGAGGCGACUCCAAGGAUAGUGCAACAGAAAUGAACCGCCCGGAUUUCCGGGUAAGGGUGGAAGGGCAGUGUAAGAGACUACCGCCCUCCUGGUAACAGGAGGGGCAUAUGUAAACCCCAUCCGAAGCAAGACCGAAACGAGGCAUAUGGCGGCCCGUCAGCCUCAGGUGGGUUGCUGGAGCCUGGCGGUGACGCCAGGCCUAGAUAGAUGAUUAUUCAACGACAUAACCCGGCUUAUCGUUCUGCUUAU